CCGUGAGUAAAGUGGCGUACGGGUGAGUAACACGUGGAUGAUCUGCCCUCGAGUGGGGAAUAACCAGGGGAAACCUUGGCUAAUACCGCAUAAGCCUGAGAAGGGAAAGCCGAAAGGCGCUCAAGGAGGAGUCCGCGGUCGAUUAGCUAGUUGGUAGGGUAAUGGCCUACCAAGGCAACGAUCGAUAGCCGGCCUGAGAGGGCACACGGCCACACUGGCACUGAAACACGGGCCAG
rnacentral:rRNA from 1 species